CUGCUCCCCUCACACCCCAUCUAGCCAAUCGGAUGCAGGUCCGAUUUACCUUCUCUGCGAUAGGUUCACUGGCUGGCUCUCACUCAGGAGAAAAUAAUUUAACAUUUAGGCCUAAAUUAAACUCUUUUUUUCUCCCAGAAAAGAAAAAAAAGACUUUUCUCUCUUUUUCUUAAAACAACAUGGACGCCAGACCUGUCAACCUGGCCCUGCUCGCUCAGACCCCUGUAACCAGCUACAGAGCUUCCGCGACACCAGCGCAACUCACACGAAUGCAUCUUUGUAGGGUUCAGCCAGCACCGGCUAACCCAAUGUAGGACAGAAUCCGUCUCAGCUCCGGCGGAUUUUGGGGCUAUGCCUUCAGCCUCAGAGAGAGCGAAAUCUAUUUCUAUCAGCUAAAAGCAGGUGAAAGUUUUGGCCCGCUGACACCUCGGAUUGCCUUUACUUCGUCUGAUUGGGGUGUUUUGAGCCUCAUCGCGACGCCCGAAGUGCAGAAGAGCCUGCGGGAAACGAGCUCGCAACAACCACGAACCAGGGAUCAACGACAACUGCCGUCGCUUUCGCUAUGUGCAUAUCACUCGACUCUGAUUUAAGCCAGAUGUGUUAACCUGAUCCCUGCGAAACACCAGCUCUGCGUGGAUUUUGACCGCGAGAAACCGGAUGUUGUUUCCGGCCUGAGGUUGCCUGAAAUGCCGUGAGGCUCGUUUGAAAGAUUGCGCCCGAGACCAACUCCGCCUCCAAGGCGUGCCUACCUUUAGCUGCCACCAGUGAGAUAUCAGAGCCGGGCUCCACAUAUCCAAUCAGGAGCAUGAGGAAGACAGCUUUUGCAGACUCUCCAGAAAUAUACAAAUCCUUACCAACUGCUCUGCAACCCAGUGUUUCUGGUCCCCUCACUAACAUCGCUUUUUGAGAUAUUUUUUAUGAGCCACCCAAAGAGCCAUUUUACCCCCCAGUACAGAAGACUGGAUCUGAGGGCAGCAGCAGCGGGGACAAAUGCUUGUAAUGAAGCGACGGACAUUUCAUGGCUGAUCUUAGAUAAUCGUGAGUUAUUGUGUCUUAUGGUGAAAAGUAGUUUUGCAAGAGGCAUGCAAGCACUGUGGAAAAGUAAUCGUGUGUAAGUCCUCUAAAACUGUUUUUUGUGAACACUUUGCUCCCCACGUUAUGCUUUAAAAAAUUUGAUACAUGUAAUGUGAUCAUCAAAGAACAUGAGUUUUUAAAAAGACUUUUAUUCUUAUGCUUUUAAAACUAUGUCAGAUUAUCAUAAAACACUUAUUUGUAUGUUAUAAUGUUUUUCUUACACCAUGUGUAAUUUUUAUAGACACCUUGUUCAUUGUAUCAAUGUGUAAUUAUGUAUCUUUGAUAAAUAAAUAAAAUAUUUAAUCUUG